rnacentral:lncRNA from 1 species
GAAAACUUUGGUAUAUCUUUUCGCUGUUCUAUUUUGCUCAUUGCUUACAUUUGUGGUAUGUAUACAUCUACAAUUGCUAUUUGCUUUUCAAAAUUAAUAUUCCUUCUUUUGUUUUUACAUUUUGUAUUAAAUUAAGAGGUGGAAAAAAUGUGGCCCAAUUUGACAACAAGAUCAAAGUUUCAAAUCCUCAAUAAAAAAAUUUUAAAAAGUAACUUUGUGAUUUUUUCACUUAUGUUUAGGUUUUGUUAGGUUGGGUUAUUCGGUAUAUGUGUUUAUGGGAGACGGGAUAUGCACGGACCUCUAAAUAAUUUUCCGGACUCGCUCCUAUGUCCAAAAUCACGAUACGGAGCUAUUGGAAUCAUCAUAAUUAAAUUCCGAGGUCGUUUACAAAUAAGUCAAUAUCCGGUCAACUUUUCUAACUUAAGUUUUCAAUUAAGAGACUAAGUGUCUCAUUUCAUUCCGAAAUCCUUCCGGACCCGAACCAACUAACUCGGUAAGUCAUAAAACAACUGUAAAAUAUAAAUUGAGCAGUAAAUGGGGGAACGGGGUUAAAAUACUCAAAACGACCGGUCGGGUUGUUACAUGAUCAUGCAUUUUUCUUCUUAGAACACAUUCUUGAAUGUGAAUUUGUUCGACAAAAACUUGAGUAUCAUUGAAAUGUUUUCGCUUUAUAUAUGAAUUAAUAAGAAUAUUAUUUCUGUAACACACAAAUAUAUAUAAAUAUAUAUAUACUGCUUGAUUUUGCAGGCAUGUUCGUGAUAACACAAGUUUUCUCAGCAAAUGCUCAAAACGUAUGUACCCAACGUAUUGAUGGUAAUACUCCUUGUUCGCAAGAAUUACCACUUUGCCAACAGCAUUGCCACAAAUUCUUUGGACCACUUUAUAUUAAUUCAGAGUGUGAGGAUCAAGGCCUAGGGCAUACUACUUGUGUGUGUUACUACAAUAGUAACUUCCCUUGUAA